ACCUUUGGUCCUGACAAAGUCUGUUUACUAAAGCCAUCAACACAUUCAGUGUCAAAUGGUCAAGUCAUACAUACAGCAUACGGGACUCCCCGAAUAUUUGUUCAACUCAAUCUGGGAGAAAAAUACAUUUUAAGGAUUAAAGGAUUGCUUUUAAAUAUUUAAACUGCCUAUUUCUGUAUCUUAAUACCUAAAUUGAUUUCUUACAGAACAAGCCAAAUUUUCCCAGAAAAUUACAUUGGGCAUCUUUGGAAGAACAUUAAAACUUUGAGGUAGCCCUGGUCCUGUUGCUCAAAUUACUGCUCCAGUGCACCAAACGGUGACCUGUUCAGUAGCUCAGAGUAUGCAAAAAACAGAAAAUCUACAAGUUUUGGACAAAAUUCCUCCCAAACACCUCACCUGGGAUCACUAGAGUCUGCAAAAGUCGUAUGCUAUGCUGUACAUAUUUCUGGUUCUUCUAAUCACAUUGAUAUACUGUCAGUCAAAAAUAAAGGAGCUGAAUUGAGUUCACACUUCAUUACAAAACUAAGAACAUUAUGAGAGAAUUUGACAUAAAUAGAAAAUGAGUAAAUAACCAAUGAAAAUCGCACAUGAAUGAGGAGUUAGUUGUACCAAGGACUCAAAAGAGGCAUAAAGUACUGGAAUCAAGAUCCAGGAUGCAGCAGUUAAGUUUGCUAUUCUGAGGAUAAAUAGAUCUCACUCUGAAUAAAGCAAAGAAGGAGGAAAAAUGAAGAUAGAAC
rnacentral:lncRNA from 1 species